rnacentral:rRNA from 1 species
UACGGAGGGAGCUAGCGUUGUUCGGAAUUACUGGGCGUAAAGGGCGCGUAGGUGGCCUUCUAAGUUGAACGUGAAAUCCCUGGGCUCAACCCAGGAACUGCGUCCAAGACUGGGAGGCUUGAAUCCGGGAGAGGGAUGCGGAAUUCCAGGUGUAGCGGUGAAAUGCGUAGAUAUCUGGAGGAACACCGGUGGCGAAGGCGACUACCUGGCCUGUUCUUGACGCUGAGGCGCGAAAGCUAGGGUAGCAAACGGG